GAUGAACGCUGGCGGCGUGCCUAAUUCAUGCAAGUCGAGCGAACAGACGAGGAGCUUGCUCCUCUGACGUUAGCGGCGGACGGGUGAGUAACACGUGGAUAACCUACCUAUAAGACUGGGAUAACUUCGGGAAACCGGAGCUAAUACCGGAUAAUAUAUUGAACCGCAUGGCUCAAUAGUGAAAGACGGUUUUGCUGUCACUUAUAGAUGGAUCCGCGCCGCAUUAGCUAGUUGGUAAGGUAACGGCUUACCAAGGCAACGAUGCGUAGCCGACCUGAGAGGGUGAUCGGCCACACUGGAACUGAGACACGGUCCAGACUCCUACGGGAGGCAGCAGUAGGGAAUCUUCCGCAAUGGGCGAAAGCUUGACGGAGCAACGCCGCGUGAGUGAUGAAGGUCUUCGGAUCGUAAAACUCUGUUAUUAGGGAAGAACAAAUGUGUAAGUAACUAUGCACGUCUUGACGGUACCUAAUCAGAAAGCCACGGCUAACUACGUG
rnacentral:rRNA from 1 species